rnacentral:tRNA from 1 species
GCCCAGAUAGCUCAGUCGGUAGAGCAGGGGACUGAAAAUCCCCGUGUAGGUGGUUCGAUUCCGCCUCUGGGCACCA